GACGAACGCUGGCGGCGUGCCUAACACAUGCAAGUCGAACGGAAAGGCCCUGCUUUUGUGGGGUGCUCGAGUGGCGAACGGGUGAGUAACACGUGAGUAACCUGCCCUUGACUUUGGGAUAACUUCAGGAAACUGGGGCUAAUACCGGAUAGGAGCUCCUGCUGCAUGGUGGGGGUUGGAAAGUUUCGGCGGUUGGGGAUGGACUCGCGGCUUAUCAGCUUGUUGGUGGGGUAGUGGCUUACCAAGGCUUUGACGGGUAGCCGGCCUGAGAGGGUGACCGGCCACAUUGGGACGGAGAUACGGCCCAGACUCCUACGGGAGGCAGCAGUGGGGAAUAGUGCACAAUGGGCGGAAGCCUGAUGCAGCAACGCCGCGUGCGGGAUGACGGCCUUCGGGUUGUAAACCGCUUUCGCCUGUGACGAAGCGUGAGUGACGGUAAUGGGUAAAGAAGCACCGGCUAACUACGUG
rnacentral:rRNA from 1 species